GGGUCAGCAGGUUGGUCGUGCCACCGGUACGUACUGGUCUCACUGAUUCCUCCUUCCUGAAGAACCGUAAUGCCAUUAAUUUGGUGUUGCGGGGAAACAGGACUGUUACUUUGAAAAAAUUAGAGUGUUUAAAGCAAGCUGACGCUUGAAUACAUUAGCAUGGAAUAAUGAAAUAGGACGAUCGAUCCUAUUUUGUUGGUUUCUAGGAUUGACGUA
rnacentral:rRNA from 1 species